AACCUCUCCGACGAGGUAAAGACUAAGGGACAAGCGCGAGGCGGCACCGAAAACAGCAAGUGAGGAAGGCGAAUAAAGCCAGGCAGGUGUGAGGAGGGUCCAGAUUGCAGAAGACGAGGAACGGGCUACGAAUUGUGGGCGGAUGCAAGGGGUGGGGAGGGCGGGCCAGGGCCUGUGGGAGCCCGAAGCACGUGCUGGCAGAGAAGCAGCGGAGGGGCUGGGCAGGGGCUAGGACCGGUUACAGAGAAAGGAGUCGGGGAGACUGGCAGGCUGGAAAGCCGGCGCAGGGAGGUCACCUUUGAUGUAGACAUCGUCGUCGGCGCGCAUGAACCACUCAUACUUGUCCAGAAAUCAGCAUGAGAAGAUGAUCAAAAUUCAUAUAUUGAAACAUGAAAAGGCUCUGAAUGGGUUGGAUGAUGCCCUCCCAUAUUGCGGUGGCCAAUAUGCUUUACUCAGUCUACAGAUUCAAAUGCUAAUCUCUUCUGGAAACAAACUCACAGACACACUCAAAAAUAAUGUUUAACUAGAUAUCUGGACAUCCGGUGCUCAAGGUUGAAGAAGAAAUAAAGAAGCACGGAAGUAAUAACAUGGGAUUAUCAGAAAACCUGACUGAUUGUGCUGCUGCUGGCAAUGGUGAUGAUGGACUAAUUCCACAAAGAGCAGAAAACCUGAAAAUCAGCAAUUUCCUAGGACGGAGAAUGAAGAGUAUCAUAGGUAAGCCUAUGGCA
rnacentral:lncRNA from 1 species